rnacentral:rRNA from 1 species
UACAGAGGUCCCAAGCGUUGUUCGGAUUCAUUGGGCGUAAAGGGCGCGUAGGCGGUGCGGUAAGUCGGGUGUGAAAUCUCGGAGCUUAACUCCGAAACUGCAUUCGAUACUGCCGUGCUUGAGGACUGGAGAGGAGACUGGAAUUUACGGUGUAGCGGUGAAAUGCGUAGAUAUCGUAAGGAAGACCAGUGGCGAAGGCGGGUCUCUGGACAGUUCCUGACGCUGAGGCACGAAGGCCAGGGGAGCAAACGGG